CAGCAGCCGCGGUAAUACGAAGGGGGCUAGCGUUGUUCGGAUCUACUGGGCGUAAAGCGCACGUAGGCGGAUCGAUCAGUCAGGGGUGAAAUCCUGGAGCUCAACUCCAGAACUGCCUUUGAUACUGUCGAUCUCGAGUCCGGAAGAGGUGAGUGGAACUCCUAGUGUAGAGGUGGAAUUCGUAGAUAUUAGGAAGAACACCAGUGGCGAAGGCGGCUCACUGGUCCGGUACUGACGCUGAGGUGCGAAAGCGUGGGGAGCAAACAGGAUUAGAUACCCCGGUAGUCCCUGUCUCUUAUAC
rnacentral:rRNA from 1 species